AUUGAACGCUGGCGGCAUGCUUUACACAUGCAAGUCGAACGGUAACAGGGAGCUUGCUCCGCUGACGAGUGGCGAACGGGUGAGUAAUGCGUCGGAACGUGCCGAGUAGUGGGGGAUAACGCAUCGAAAGGUGUGCUAAUACCGCAUACGAACUGAGGUUGAAAGUGGGGGACCUUCGGGCCUCACGCUAUUCGAGCGGCCGACGUCUGAUUAGCUAGUUGGUGAGGUAAAGGCUCACCAAGGCGACGAUCAGUAGCGGGUCUGAGAGGAUGAUCCGCCACACUGGGACUGAGACGAGGCCCAGACUACUACGGGAGUCAGCAGUGGGGAAUUUUGGACAAGGGGCGCAAGCCUGAUCCAGCCAUGCCGCGUGUCUGAAGAAGGCCUUCGGGUUGUAAAGGACUUUUGUCCGGGAGCAAAUGCUGGUGGCUAACAUCCACCGGAGCUGAGAGUACCGGAAGAAUAAGCGCCGGCUAACUACGUGCCAGCCGCCGCCGUAACAC
rnacentral:rRNA from 1 species